rnacentral:rRNA from 1 species
GACGUAGGGCGCGAGCGUUGUCCGGAAUUAUUGGGCGUAAAGAGCUCGUAGGCGGUGUGUCGCGUCGGCCGUGAAAUCCCGCGGCUCAACCGCGGGUCUGCAGUCGAUACGGGCAGGCUAGAGUUCGGUAGGGGAGACUGGAAUUCCUGGUGUAGCGGUGAAAUGCGCAGAUAUCAGGAGGAACACCGGUGGCGAAGGCGGGUCUCUGGGCCGAUACUGACGCUGAGGAGCGAAAGCGUGGGGAGCGAACAGG